AUCCAACUCGUGGCAACACGAGGGAAGAUCGAGUGGCGAACGGGUGAGUAACACGUGAGAAACCUGUCCCGGUCUCUGGAAUAACAGUGGGAAACCACUGCUAAUACCGGAUACCUUCCCCGCGUCGCAUGGCGUGGUGAAGAAAGGCUUGUCCGGACUGGGAGGGUCUCGCGGCCUAUCAGCUUGUUGGUGGGGUAACGGCCUACCAAGGCGUCGACGGGUAGCUGGUCUGAGAGGACGAUCAGCCACACUGGGACUGAGACACGGCCCAGACUCCUACGGGAGGCAGCAGUGGGGAAUCUUGCGCAAUGGGCGAAAGCCUGACGCAGCAACGCCGCGUGGGGGAUGAAGGCCUUCGGG
rnacentral:rRNA from 1 species